ACAUACGACCACAGGAAGUGGAAAACAGAGCUUCCCGUCCGCUCAGCUGUACUUAAGCCACUUGCCGGUCGGUUAGUAGUUGGGUGGGUGA
rfam:Trichophyton interdigitale MR816 cont1.536, whole genome shotgun sequence.